CAGCAACAACACGCAGCUGGACAACGGAACAGAGAGGAGCUAGCUUGGCUUCAUGGAAUGAUGAAUUGAAGAAACAAAGGAAGGCACGUGAAGAGUGGACAAAUUCAAAGCAAUCCAUCUUUGGUUUAUCCCUUUUAAUCAUGUUUGUUUCUUUGAAUAUUAUGUCUAGCUAAAUUUUUAUGAUUGGUCCUCAGGGAAUUCUGAUUAUUAUUUCUCUU
rnacentral:lncRNA from 1 species